UGCCCACUGAUGUCAUCAUUCUUAGAAGUUGUGUUCAUCUCUCGUUUCUGGGAGUAUUAGAUUCAUGAGCACGUUGGUGUUAAAAAGCUAAUUUAAAAACGGAGUCGGAUGUUUAAUUAUUGUUUGAUUUGGGGUUACAGCCUUUCAUUUUUCAAACAUCUUAAGAGCAGAGAAUGAAAAUUGUUACCUAAGAAACUAUUGAAAUUCUCUUAACUCUUCUGGUUGCUUUUCAACUCUGGCACUGCUCUGAGGGACCCAGCUAAUGGACCCCGUUGCAUCAAUACAAACCAUGAAGACAGCUUGAAUGAAUUAUUUAAGAAUCCUUCUCACCCCCACAUGCUAGAUGGCUUCUUCACGG